GUUCGGUAUGUGCAAGAAUAAGGACCUAAAAAUUCACACGUAGAAAAAUCUUCAAAGCUGAAUUUUUGCACAACGGUUGAGUUCGAUUUAUGCAGUUAUAGGCUGUGGUUCACAAGAAAAAUUAUCUGCAGCAGCGUUUGCAACAUCUAUGUUCAUAGGCAAUGUACCUAAGCAGACACGUGCAUCGCUGUCUAGGUUUCCUCUACACCCCCCCUAUAACCUUGUGUAAAUUGUCUAUGAAUAUUAUUUCUUGUUUGUUUUGCAAAACGUUAUCUAUUUAGGUGUAUGCUUUGGAUUUUGGUGAAGGAGGAGUUCCUGAUUAAAAAUAAGGGAAUAUGAUCCUGCAUGAUGAAUGUGCAAAAUAAAAUGAUAUGUAAGAGUGAUGAGGACAAAUUGCUGUAUUGUACUGAAUAAUUGUAGUCUACAGCACUACAGUGGGAGCUGUAUAAAUAUUUGAAAGUG